CCUCCUUUUUUGGGCAGAGAUUGGGCGUCCCUGUAAUGUACAGAGGCAAAGGGAAAGGGCUCCAGCCACCUGGGCGUCAUGUCUUCAGUGCCACCAGCUUCCAGUCCGCUGGUUCUAUCAUCAAGCGCCGGGAUAUGA
ensembl:snoRNA